rnacentral:rRNA from 1 species
UACGGGGGGGGCAAGCGUUGUUCGGAAUUACUGGGCGUAAAGGGCUCGUAGGCGGCUUAUCAAGUCAGGCGUGAAAUUCCCGGGCUCAACCUGGGGGCUGCGCUUGAUACUGAUUGGCUUGAAUGCGGGAGAGGAUAGUGGAAUUCCCAGUGUAGAGGUGAAAUUCGUAGAUAUUGGGAAGAACACCGGUGGCGAAGGCGGCUAUCUGGCCCGUAAUUGACGCUGAGGCGCGAAAGCGUGGGGAGCAAACAGG